CCCGGGCCUUGUACACACCGCCCGUCACACCAUGGGAGUUGGUUUUACCCGAAGCUGGUGAGCUAACCGUAAGGAGGCAGCCAACCACGGUAAGGUCAGCGACUGGGGUG
rnacentral:rRNA from 1 species